CGCUCCGCAGGCGGCGGGACCUACAGGAAGUGUGUAGCGACGCCCGCGGAAGGCACUCGACCCGCGGCGCUCGCUACCCUACCAGGGCGCGGGCCAAGCUCUUGCCACCGAUGCGCGCAGCCCGGAGCCGGCGGAGUUCAGCCCCCGCCGCUCCGACAGGAUGGCCCACUGAGGUCAGAAAAGGCAUUGGACCUGGAGUUAGAGACCUUUGUGAGCCGCCAUGUAGGUGCUGGGAUCAAAGCUGAGUCCUCCCCACAGCUGAACCACCUCCCCCACCCCACAGGCUGAUGACGAUCUUAAAUCUGUACAUUGUCAACGCUCUGGUGCCAGCUAAAUAAAAGCAUUUAUGUAAA